UACAGAGGUCUCAAGCGUUGUUCGGAUUCAUUGGGCGUAAAGGGCGCGUAGGCGGUUCGUGCAGUCGGACGUGAAAUUCCUGGGCUCAACCUGGGGGCUGCGUUUGAUACGUGCGGACUUGAGUGCGGAAGAGGGUCGUGGAAUUCCCAGUGUAGAGGUGAAAUUCGUAGAUAUUGGGAAGAACACCGGUGGCGAAGGCGGCGACCUGGUCCGAUACUGACGCUGAGGCGCGAAAGCGUGGGGAGCGAACAGG
rnacentral:rRNA from 1 species